rnacentral:sRNA from 1 species
GACAAGCGACAAAAGGUCAUAAAUUUCAUGCUUGCAUGAAAUUUUAUGACUUUGGGGAGCGCAAAACACCGAAAAGCAGCCAUUUUUCGAAGAAAAAUGAGCGGAUUUGAGGUGUUUUCAGGAUUGCGGGAGCACGAAGUGCGGAGCAAUCCGUG